ACGUCACCAUCAUUCCUGCCAGUCACCGCCGCCGCCGUCCCUACCCAGCUAAAAAAAGCUUGUUUCGGAUAUGACAUUGAAAAAAGAGUUUGCCUAAUAGACUACUUCUUCCAAAUCUCUCCCCCAUUUUCCACGCUCUCAAACUUUCUUCACUUCAUUUUCCCCAUAUCUCACGCCCUUCUCUUCUUCCAAUGCUCUCCACCUUCAUUUUCCAUCUUCCGGUUAAGCCUAAUUUCUCCUUUGAUUCACUAAUUUCCUUUUUCAUUUUAAUUCCCAAAGUUACUUCCCCCUCUUUUUGUUACUCUAACUAAAAUGUUCGAGUCUUGGAGGGAAUUGACCCAAUCUUCCCUUUUCUUUUCUCAGUUGUUUGUGCUUGAUUUAGGAGAUCAUUGUGCUACCUCUAUUGACAACUUUGACGAUCAGUAGACAGCAUCCUUAAUCUUUCUGAACUUGGCACUACAACAAUGUACGGGUUAUAAACCAUCUGAACUGAAAGAUUGUGUUCUCGUAAUCCAUGAGUUGCAAUCAUCCUUGAUUUCGGUCUCUACAUUCUCAAAAGAGCUGCAUUUCUUGACACGCUGUAUGAUUGAUUUUGCUUCGAGGGGGAUUCCCUCGGGUCCUGAUGAUGCUCGUAACCCCCAUACUCAAUCUAGUGGUGCGGAUGAUGAUGAGACUCACGUGUCAAACACACAAAGGCAUGUUUGAAUGUUAAUGUUGUGGUGGAUUUGUGGAUUGUGUAAGUGUUUUGUGGAUGUUUGCGAGGGGUGAAGUAGUGUAAUGUUGUAGACUAGUUUAAUGUUUUGUGGAUGUUUACAAAUGUUGAAGUAGUUUAAUGUUGUUUUGAUGUUUGCAAAGGUUGAAGUAGCUUAAUGUCUGUUGUGAAUGUUUGAUUGAUGUUAUUAUUCAACUUUGAAGUAGUUUCGAAUUGAAUUUGAUGUAUUGGUGGUUGUAAUAUAUGUGUUGUAAUAGUAGCUUAAUGUUUUAUGUAUUUAUAGUAGUUUGGUGUAUUGUUGGCAGCUAUUUGAGCUGGUUUUAGUUGAAAGUAAAAUUAUUUUCAUCUUGACAGGGGAGCAGCUGGAAUAAU